UACGAAGGGGGCUAGCGUUGUUCGGAUUUACUGGGCGUAAAGCGCACGUAGGCGGAUCGUUAAGUCAGGGGUGAAAUCCUGGAGCUCAACUCCAGAACUGCCUUUGAUACUGGCGAUCUUGAGUCCGGAAGAGGUGAGUGGAACUCCUAGUGUAGAGGUGGAAUUCGUAGAUAUUAGGAAGAACACCAGUGGCGAAGGUGGCUCACUGGUCCGGUACUGACGCUGAGGUGCGAAAGCGUGGGGAGCAAACAGG
rnacentral:rRNA from 1 species